UCUUCUUUUCUUCUGCCAUGUGUUCCGUUACAGGACCCAGGUCUUUUCUUCGAGUAUUGGUUGAUGGAUUUGUAGUGUUGUUUGUUCUGUGCCGGGAGCCCAAAGUUUCCUUUUUGAAAAAUGGCACUUCAUUGUAAAUGAUAAGGGUCAUCGUUAUUAUUAUUUCUGACAUGCCAGGAGCAGAUAUUCGUUAUGAACUGUAGAUUAAAAAUGAAGAGACUGCAGGGAGGUGAGUCAGCACGGCUGAAAUCGUCUGCUCCAGCGGGUAAAAAGUGCCGGACCAUCUCGACUGCGUGCCACCCGGGUCAUUGUUGCCUCUCAGUGGUCAGCAUGUGCCAGGGACUUUGCUGGAUGAGACAGAAAGGCUGGGCACGUCUGGUGUACACUAUACAGGGUGUCCAAACAAAACACCGACAACAGUUACUGUGUUGUGCAGAAAGGCAAAGUAAUCAGUUUUCAAGAAGGAACCCGUAUCAUACAAUGCACGGCUUCGGUGC